UAAAAAGCAGCUCGACACACAUUUUUCGUUAGUUCAUUUUCAGACUCGCUCGAGUCAACACACAAAUUUUCCAAAUUUUUUGUGUUUUUUUAUUUUUUGUUAAACUAAUUCUGACGAAAUGCACAAACGUCUCUGGCUUAUUAUUCCCUUGGAUGUCUGACGAUGGUACCACGGAUUGACGCUCUUCGUUGAGGUCAUCGUAGGUCCAAGGCUUUCAUUAUGGACUCGGAAUUAUUUUGCUUUCUGCACAUUCUUACGGAGAUCGCAGUUACCGUUGAACACUAAUCUCUUGAUACUUUCAACACUUAAUACCCAGCUGCAUAUUCUUUUAUGAUUAUAAACAUUUUAAGAACACUUUUCUAUACACUUGAAUAUAAUAAUGGCACGUUGAUGAACUUA